GACAGAUAAGAUAAAGCGUUUACAAAACCACUUAAAGGAGAGGAAAAAAGAUGGGAACAAUUGUAUGUCAAUCAUGCCUGGGUACUAUUGAGCAUUAUGAAGAUGAGAAGGUUUCUGUUUUAUUCUCUAAUUGCUGUGACUGCAACGACGACAAAGAAUUAGACGAUUAAUGCCUGCUUUGGGGAGCGGGUGAAAGUAGCGUCUUAAGGGGUUCUUAUAAAUAAAAAGGAUGAAGAAGGUGAGACCUUCUUCAUCCUUU
rnacentral:sRNA from 1 species